UACAGAGGUCUCAAGCGUUGUUCGGAUUCAUUGGGCGUAAAGGGUGCGUAGGCGGCGCGGUAAGUCGGGUGUGAAAUCUCGGGGCUUAACUCCGAAACUGCAUUCGAUACUGCCGUGCUUGAGGACUGGAGAGGAGACUGGAAUUUACGGUGUAGCGGUGAAAUGCGUAGAUAUCGUAAGGAAGACCAGUGGCGAAGGCGGGUCUCUGGAACGGUACUGACGCUGAGGCGCGAAAGCGUGGGGAGCGAACAGG
rnacentral:rRNA from 1 species